UGAAUACGAGAUGCUACGGCGUCGAAGCAGUCUAUGUCAUACUUCCAAGAAAAGCUUGCACUGUCAUAAACAAAUAAUGCCUGUACCAUAACCGACACAGGUGGGUAGGUAGAGUAUACUAAGGGGCGCGAGAUAACUCUCUCUAAGGAACUCGGCAAAAUGACUCCGUAACUUCGGGAGAAGGAGUGCCUUAUUUAUAAGGUUGCAAUAACAAGAUCCAAGCAACUGUUUACCAAAAACACAGGUCUCCGCUAAGUCGUAAGACGAUGUAUGGGGGCUGACGCCUGCCCAGUGCCAGAAGGUUAAAGAAGUUGGUUAGCAUCCGCGAAGCUGAUAACUGAAGCCCUGGUGAACGGCGGCCGUAACAAUAACGGUCCUAAGGUAGCGAAAUUCCUUGUCGGGUAAGUUCCGACCCGCACGAAAGGCGUAAUGAUUUGGAUACUGUCUCGGAGAGGGGCUCGGUGAAAUAGACUUGUCUGUGAAGAUGCGGACUACCUGCACCAGGACAGAAAGACCCUAUGAAGCUUUACUGUAACCUGAAAUUGAAAUUGGACUUUACUUGCGCAGUAUAGGUGGGAGGCGUUGAGAAUAUUCUUGCGGGAUUAUUGGAGCCAUCAGUGAGAUACCACUCUUGUAAUGUUAGAUUUCUAACAUUGUAUCAUUAUCUGGUCAAAGAACAGUUUCAGGCGGGCAGUUUGACUGGGGCGGUCGCCUCCUAAACGGUAACGGAGGCGCACAAAGGUUUCCUCUGAACGGGUAGAAAUCGUAUCUAGAGUGUAAAGGCAUAAGGAAGCUUGACUGUGAGACCUACAAGUCGAGCAGGGACGAAAGUCGGUCUUAGUGAUCUGACGGUGCUGAGUGGAAAGGCCGUCACUCAACGGAUAAAAGUUACUCUAAGGAUAACAGGCUGAUCUCCCCCAAGAGUUCACAUCGACGGGGAGGUUUGGCACCUCGAUGUCGGCUCAUCGCAUCCUGGGGCGGUAGUACGUCCCAAGGGUUGGGCUGUUCGCCCAUGAAAGCGGUACGCGAGCUGGGUUCAGAACGUCGUGAGACAGUUCGGUCCAUAUCCGGUGUAGGCGUUAGAAUAUUGAGAGGAGCCUUCUUUAGUACGAGAGGACCGAGAAGGACAUACCUCUGGUGUACCAGUUAUCGUGCCAACGGUAAACGCUGGGUAGCUAUGUGUGGAGUGGAUAACCGCUGAAAGCAUCUAAGUGGGAAGCCCACCUCAAGAUAAG
rnacentral:rRNA from 1 species